AGCGAACGCUGGCGGCAUGCCUAACACAUGCAAGUCGCACGGGUCGGCUUCGGCCGGUCAGUGGCGGACGGGUGAGGAACGCGUAGGGAUCUGUCCUCUGGUGGGGGAUAACCGCGGGAAACUUCGACUAAGACCGCAUGAGGCGCCGGUGUGAGCGCCGGUGUCAAAGUCGCGCAUCGCGAGGUGUGUGUGGCGGGGGGGUGGGCCUGCGUCCGAUUGGCUGGUUGGCGGGGUAGUGGCCCACCAAGGCGUCGAUCGGUCGCUGGUCGGAGAGUGUGAUCAGCUACACUGGGACUGAGACACGGCCUAGACUCCUACGGGAGGCAGCAGUGGGGAAUAUUGGACAAUGGGCGCAAGCCUGAUCCAGCAAUGCCGCGUGGGUGAAGAAGGGCUUCGGAUUGUAAAGCCCUUUCGGAGGGGACGAUGGUGACGGUACCCGCAGAAGAAGCCCCGGCUAACUUCGUG
rnacentral:rRNA from 1 species